GACGAACGCUGGCGGCGUGCUUAACACAUGCAAGUCGAACGGGUUUUAGUAGACAGAAGCCUCGGCUACAGAUUACUAAUGAGAGUGGCGAACGGGUGAGUAACGCCUGAGCAACCUGCCUAUGACAGUGGGAUAGCCUCGGGAAACCGGGAUUAAUACCGCAUCAAAUCGUAGAAACCCAUGUUUUAACGGUUAAAGAUUUAUCGGUCAUAGAUGAGCUCGCGUCUGAUUAGCUAGUUGUUGAGAUAACGGCCCACCAAUUCGACAAUCAGUAGCCGGUCUGAGAGAAUGAACGGCAACAAUAGAACUGAGACAAGAGCCAAAAUCCUACGGGAGGCAGAAGUGAGGAAUAAUGCAAAAGUAGCGAAACACGAAGGAAUCGACGACGUGUGAACGAAGAAAAUAAGCGUAUGGAAAAGUUAUAUCCAAUGGGAAGAUAAUGACAGUACAAUACGAGAAAGCGCCAGAUAAAUCAGUG
rnacentral:rRNA from 1 species